AGUGAACGCUGGCGGUAGGCUUAACACAUGCAAGUCGAACGGCAGCACAGUAAGAGCUUGCUCUUACGGGUGGCGAGUGGCGGACGGGUGAGGAAUACAUCGGAAUCUACUUUUUCGUGGGGGAUAACGUAGGGAAACUUACGCUAAUACCGCAUACGACCUACGGGUGAAAGCAGGGGAUCUUCGGACCUUGCGCGAUUGAAUGAGCCGAUGUCGGAUUAGCUAGUUGGCGGGGUAAAGGCCCACCAAGGCGACGAUCCGUAGCUGGUCUGAGAGGAUGAUCUGCCACACUGGAACUGAGACACGGUCCAGACUCCUACGGGAGGCAGCAGUGGGGAAUAUUGGACAAUGGGCGCAAGCCUGAUCCAGCCAUACCGCGUGGGUGAAGAAGGCCUUCGGGUUGUAAAGCCCUUUUGUUGGGAAAGAAAAGCAGCAGGUUAAUACCCCGCUGUUCUGACGGUACCCAAAGAAUAAGCACCGGCUAACUUCGUG
rnacentral:rRNA from 1 species